rnacentral:ncRNA from 1 species
NNNNNNUCUUAGUUGGUGGAGUGAUUUGUCUGGUUAAUUCCGUUAACGAACGAGACCUCCGCGUGCUAAAUAGUUCCGCUUACCAUUUUUGGUAGGUUUGUGGACUUCUUAGAGGGACUUUUGGGUAAUCAAACCAAAGGAAGUUGGAGGCAAUAACAGGUCUGUG